rnacentral:rRNA from 1 species
UUGAACGCUGGCGGCAUGCCUUACACAUGCAAGUCGAACGGUAGAGGAGCAAUCCUCGAGAGUGGCGAACGGGUGAGUAAUGUAUCGGAACGUGCCCAGUAGUGGGGGAUAGCCCGGCGAAAGCCGGAUUAAUACCGCAUGAUACCUGAGGGUGAAAGCGGGGGAUCGCAAGACCUUGCGCUGAUUGAGCGGCCGAUAUCAGAUUAGCUAGUUGGUGAGGUAAAGGCUCACCAAGGCGACGAUCUGUAGCGGGUCUGAGAGGAUGAUCCGCCACACUGGAACUGAGACACGGUCCAGACUCCUACGGGAGGCAGCAGUGGGGAAUUUUGGACAAUGGGGGCAACCCUGAUCCAGCCAUGCCGCGUGAGUGAAGAAGGCCUUCGGGUUGUAAAGCUCUUUCAGCCGGGAAGAAAACGCAUGGGUUAAUACCCUGUGUGGAUGACGGUACCGGAAUAAGAAGCACCGGCUAACUACGU